UUUCAGAGUCAUAUUCAGGUUUAAAUUCUGUCAUUCAGCCCAAACUCAUUACUUUAUGUUACUUAUGGGAACCUCAUCUAAAAAGCAAGGAUCCUGAUACCUGCCUCAUAUUGUGGCAAGGAUCAAAUGAGUCAAAUAAGAUGCUUGUGAAAGUGAGGACAGGAUCUAUCCUCAACACCUAGUGCAAUUCUUUUUACACAUUAGGUACUUAGUAAUUUGGGUUGAAUUGUGUUGAACUAACCUGGCGGUAUAGGCAAAAUUUGGAAGUUUGGUUUUCAGAAAGUCUUGACUUCCUCUUAUCUCUAAGUAAUUGGCAUGUCCUCUAAUUCAUAUUUUCCCCCCUCAUCUGUUGGGUGAAAUACUGUUUAUCCUUUAGUACUAAAAUUAAAAGUUACCUCAUUCUUCUAGCUAGCUGAUUUUUUUUUUUAAUCUAGGCUAAAUCAUGAAUACAUUUACAUUUAAAUAAAAUAUUACAGUUGAAAGUAAAGGGUCCUUUCAUUAUCUCCACUUCCAAUUCCAGUACCCUGUGUAAAGGAAAACAUAUACAUCUUGCAGACAUUUUUUAAUGUGUUUGUAAUAUAGGUACAUAAAAAUAUAUGUGCUUGUUUUAAGCAAAUUUCAUACUCUGC
rnacentral:lncRNA from 10 species